rnacentral:rRNA from 1 species
GCAGUCGAACGGGAUUCGGUCCUUCGGGAUCGAUGAGAGUGGCGCACGGGUGCGUAACGCGUAUGCAACCUGCCUUCUACAGGGGGAUAGCCCGGGGAAACCCGGAUUAAUACCCCAUGGCAUCAUAUAUCUGCAUGGGUUUUAUGAUUAAAGCUUUCGGGCGGUAGAAGAUGGGCAUGCGUAGGAUUAGCUAGUUGGCGGGGUAACGGCCCACCAAGGCGACGAUCCUUAGGGGUUCUGAGAGGAAGGUCCCCCACACUGGCACUGAGAUACGGGCCAGACUCCUACGGGAGGCAGCAGUAGGGAAUAUUGGGCAAUGGUCGGAAGACUGACCCAGCCAUGCCGCGUGCAGGAAGACGGCGUUCUGCGUUGUAAACUGCUUUUAUCUGGGAAGAAAACGCCACUGCGGUGGAACUUGCCGGUACCAGAUGAAUAAGCACCGGCUAACUCCGUGCCAGCAGCCGCGGUAAUACGGAGGGUGCAAGCGUUGUCCGGAUUUAUUGGGUUUAAAGGGUGCGUAGGCGGCCUGUUAAGUCAGCGGUGAAAGUUUUCGGCUCAACCGGAAAAUUGCCGUUGAUACUGGCGGGCUUGAGUGUUGAUGGGGUAUCCGGAAUUGAUGGUGUAGCG